GAAGCGAAAGGCCAGUGCCUCUGCUUCCUACAGACGCCGGGUCCAGAGCCUUUGAUCCCUUUGGCCAGGAAGGCCACGGUUCUCUGGAAGAGAGAGAAAGCAUGAGCUGUGAGAGGAGCAGGAGAGGGAGACAACAUCCAGUAGACUCUGCACGGACUACAGAGCCUGACUCAGGGUUCAUUCAGUCCUACAACCCGGAGAGCACGAUCUGCGCCAGAACUGAGAGUCAGAUAUUCAAUUAAUGGAGCCUCAAGAUUUUUUUAAAGAAUCUAAAGUAUGAUACUUUAACUUGAGGACAUAACUUGGUGUACAAAGAGAAGUUUACUUAUACUUUUCAUUUCUGUGAAGUAGGAGAGUUGAACUUUGCCAGUUAUUAACUGCAUGCACUAAAGGAGGAUUAAUAAUUCUGUGAUUUAAUCAGAUUAAAAUAACAAUAAAUACACUUUUUAUUCACUCGUA